AUAAAAUUUACAACCUAAUUUUUACAACAAUAAAAUCUACAACUACAGUCAUCAUACAUACAACUAAAAUUCUACCGCAAAAAAUCUACAGUUACAGACGAACCAAUCACACACUAUACUAGAUAAGAAA
rnacentral:sRNA from 1 species